rnacentral:rRNA from 1 species
UACAGAGGUCCCGAAGCGUUGUUCGGUAUUUAUUGGGCGUAAAGGGUGCGUAGGCGGCGGUAGUAAGUUGGGUGUGAAAGCCCUGGGCUCAACCUAGGAAGUGCUACUCGAAACUGCGAGACUUGAGUCCUGGAGAGGGAAGGCGGAAUUCUCGGUGUAGAGGUGAAAUUCGUAGAUAUCGAGAAGGAACACCGGUGGCGAAGGCGGCCUCUGGACAGUCGACUGACGCAUGAGUGG